rnacentral:rRNA from 1 species
AUUGAACGCUGGCGGCAGGCCUAACACAUGCAAGUCGAACGAGUGGCGGACGGGUGUGUAAUGUCUGGGAAACUGCCUGAUGGAGGGGGAUAAAUACUGGAAACGGUAGAUAAUACCGCAUACCAUCAGAUGAACCCAGAUGGGAUUAGCUGGGUGGUGGGGUAACGGCGCACAAAGGCGACGAUCCCUAGCUGGUCUGAGAGGAGGACCAGCCAGACUGGAACUGAGACACGGUCCCGACUCCUACGUGAGGCAGCAGUGGGGAAUAUUGCACAAUGGGCGCAAGCCUGAUGCAGCCAUGCCGCUUGUAUGAAGAAGGCCUUCGGGUUGUAAAGUACUGUCAGCGGGGAGGCGUUACCCGCAGAAGAAGCACCGGCUAACUCCGUGCCAGCAGCCGCGGUAAUAC